AUUGAACGCUGGCGGCAGGCCUAACACAUGCAAGUCGAACGAGUGGCGGACGGGUGAGUAAUGUCUGGGCAACUGCCCGAUGGAGGGGGAUAACUACUGGAAACGGUAGCCAAUACCGCCUACCAUCGGAUGUGCCCAGUUGGGAUUAGCUAGUAGGUGGGGGAACGGCUCACCUGGGCGACGAUCCCUAGCGGGUCUGAGAGGAUGACCAGCCACACUGGAACUGAGACACGGUCCAGACUCCUACGGGAGGCAGCAGUGGGGAAUAUUGCACAAUGGGCGCAAGCCUGAUGCAGCCAUGCCGCGUGUAUGAAGAAGGCCUUCGGAUUGUAAAGUACUUUAAGCGGGGAGGCGUUACUCGCAGAAGAAGCACCGGCUAACUCCGUGCCAGCAGCCGCGGUAAUUC
rnacentral:rRNA from 1 species